rnacentral:rRNA from 1 species
GACGAACGCUGGCGGCGUGCCUAAUACAUGCAAGUAGAACGCUGAAGGAGGAGCUUGCUUCUCUGGAUGAGUUGCGAACGGGUGAGUAACGCGUAGGUAACCUGCCUGGUAGCGGGGGAUAACUAUUGGAAACGAUAGCUAAUACCGCAUAAUAGUAGAUGUUGCAUGACAUUUGCUUAAAAGGUGCAAUUGCAUCACUACCAGAUGGACCUGCGUUGUAUUAGCUAGUUGGUGGGGUAACGGCUCACCAAGGCGACGAUACAUAGCCGACCUGAGAGGGGGAUCGGCCACACUGGGACUGAGACACGGCCCAGAAUCCUACGGGAAGCAGCAGGAGGGAAUCUUCGGCAAUGGACGGAAGUCUGACCGAGCCACGCCGCGUGAGGGAAGAAGGUUUUCGGAUCGUAAAGCUCUGUUGUAAGAGAAGAACGAGUGUGAGAGUGGAAAGUUCACACUGUGACGGUAUCUUACCAGAAAGGGACGGCUAACUACGUG